rnacentral:rRNA from 1 species
CCUACGGGAGGCAGCAGUGGGGAAUAUUGGGCAAUGGGCGCAAGCCUGACCCAGCAACGCCGCGUGAAGGAAGAAGGCUUUCGGGUUGUAAACUUCUUUUCUCAGGGACGAAGAAAGUGACGGUACCUCAGGAAUAAGCCACGGCUAACUACGUGCCAGCAGCCGCGGUAAUACGUAGGUGGCAAGCGUUAUCCGGAUUUAUUGGGUGUAAGGGGCGUGUAGGCGGGACAGCAAGUCAGAUGUGAAAACUCGGGGCUCAACCCUGGGACUGCAUUUGAAACUGUUUUUCUUGAGUGCUGGAGAGGCAGGCGGAAUUCCGAGUGUAGCGGUGAAAUGCGUAGAUAUUAGGAGGAACACCAGUGGCGAAGGCGGAUUGCUGGACGGUGACUGACGCUGAGGCGCGAAAGCGUGGGGAGCAAACAGGAUUAGAUACCCCGGUAGUC